AUGCAGUGUACCCGCGGCAAGACGGAAAGACCCCGUGAACCUUUACUAUAGCUUGACACUGAACAUUGAGCCUUGAUGUGUAGGAUAGGUGGGAGGCUUUGAAGUGUGGACGCCAGUCUGCAUGGAGCCGACCUUGAAAUACCACCCUUUAAUGUUUGAUGUUCUAACGUGGACCCGUUACCCGGGUUGCGGACAGUGUCUGGUGGGUAGUUUGACUGGGGCGGUCUCCUCCUAAAGAGUAACGGAGGAGCACGAAGGUUGGCUAAUCCUGGUCGGACAUCAGGAGGUUAGUGCAAUGGCAUAAGCCAGCUUGACUGCGAGCGUGACGGCGCGAGCAGGUGCGAAAGCAGGUCAUAGUGAUCCGGUGGUUCUGAAUGGAAGGGCCAUCGCUCAACGGAUAAAAGGUACUCCGGGGAUAACAGGCUGAUACCGCCCAAGAGUUCAUAUCGACGGCGGUGUUUGGCACCUCGAUGUCGGCUCAUCACAUCCUGGGGCUGAAGUAGGUCCCAAGGGUAUGGCUGUUCGCCAUUUAAAGUGGUACGCGAGCUGGGUUUAGAACGUCGUGAGACAGUUCGGUCCCUAUCUGCCGUGGGCGCUGGAGAACUGAGGGGGGCUGCUCCUAGUACGAGAGGACCGGAGUGGACGCAUCACUGGUGUUCGGGUUGUCAUGCCAAUGGCACUGCCCGGUAGCUAAAUGCGGAAGAGAUAAGUGCUGAAAGCAUCUAAGCACGAAACUUGCCCCGAGAUGAGUUCUCCCUGAGACUUAGAGUCUCCUGAAGGAACGUUGAAGACGACGACGUUGAUAGGCCGGGUGUGUAAGCGCAGCGAUGCGUUGAGCUAACCGGUACUAAUGAACCGUGAGGCUUAACCUUACA
rnacentral:rRNA from 1 species